rnacentral:sRNA from 1 species
CCUCGUUAUCAUUGCGCUGUUCGUCCUGGCUUGGCUCGUAGUCUGAGGAGCCGGUCGGGCAGCGGAC